rnacentral:lncRNA from 1 species
AAAAAAAAAAAAAAAAAAAGGACAAUUACUUAUAUACUCUUGAAAAGUUUUCGACUUUCUGAUUUAUCUCUUUUAGAAUGCUAAAAUUACUUAUAUAUUUCUGAAAAGUUUUCGACUUUCCGAUUUACCUCUCUUAGAAAGCUAAUAUUGAAAAUACCCUUUCUACGUUCCAACAUAUUUCUAAUAUAUCUCUUCCAGAGUUAAAAUCUGUUAAUUAACUCUGUUAUUUCUGUAAAUUUACUACUUUGUCCUUUCAAAUAUAUCUUUCCACCAUCACUGACUUUCUUAUUUUCCCUUAAAGUUAGGGGCACAAAAGUGUUUUGAGUUUUGGUCUUUUCCAAUAUACUUCUCUACUGUCACCAACAUUUCUUAUUUGUCCUUAAGUUAAGGACAAAAUUUGUAUUUUAAUUUUUUUAACUGUAAUAGAUAUUUAACUCACGUUUAACCUAAGUUAACUUAACAGGAGAUAACUGCGGGGAUAUUUUACAAUAACAGUGGAACAUAUAAGGAAUAUUUUAAAAAAAUAAAUAAAAAUAAAUCGAAUAUUUUCAAACGUAUGAAAAGUAUAAAGAUAAUUAUCUUUAAAAAAAAAAAUCUUGAAACAUUGAUCUAAUUAUGUCUAAAGUAGAGGGUUUUCUUUUUCUUUUUUUUUUUUUGGGUUACCUUCACCUCCAAGCAACUGCACCUCCUCUACUCUCUUUUUAAUUAAUUUCUUAUUAUUAAUUUAUUCAUUGCCUCCUCCUCCAAGACAUGAUACUACCUCCCUACUAAGCAAAUGGAUUGGAUUAAAGAAAAAAAAAAAAAAAAAAAAAAAAGUUGGUGGGGAUGGCCCCAAACAUGGCACAGUUUAUUGCAUUGCGUGCAAAGUUUUGGAAUUUGUGCCGUUCGCACAAUAGAUUGCGAAUGGAUCAUUAGCGCUAACAAUUAAUUCCUAAAUCUCGAACUGUUAGAAAUAUACGAUCAAUUCACGUAAGGCGUACAGAUAUGGCAUAUUGACCGACCUUGAUUGUGAUUCGGCCUAACCAGCCUCUCGCUACUUCAAACAUGAUUCGAUCUAACUCGAUCUCCCGCCACAGAAAAAUUGCUGGCUCUUUAGUCCGAGAAGUUUUAUUUUAAUUUUCGUUCAAUUUGUAAAUGUGAUUUGAAUUACACGCGCACUAUAACCAGUAUCUAUAAAAACAUUUAGCUCAUCAGCUGUAUUUAAAAGGAUCUCUUUUUUUUUGCUCUUUAAAUAUUGCUGAUGAGUUAGCAGUGUUUAAACAUCCAAUCAAAUAGUUGCUGAAAACUUAAGCGGUUCGGGUAUCGAUAUUUUUAAUAUUUUGGAUCCGAUCGACCCGUUAAGAUUUAAGAAUAUUCUGUAUCAGUGUUCUCUGUGUUAGAUGCAGAUGCAACAAAAGGACUCAAUAACUGUUAUCAAUCACUAUACAACACUUUAAUUAACUCUGGGGCCCACACAUUACAAAAAGAUCCCUUGCAUUUUAUUCUAUGUCUCAUUGCUCCUUGUAUUAAAAACUAUGUUAAUUAUCGUCCUGCAUAAAUUAUAACAAACUUAAUAUGCAAAUAUAAAAAAAAAAGCUUCACAUACCACCCAUGUGGUUCAACACUUUUUCACUUGAGUAUUCUAUGGUUUAAACUGUAUCACUUUAGUACUCAGUUGUUUCGUUUUUCUCUGUCUGUUAUCUCCUCCGUUAAUUUUUCUGUUAAAUUAGUGAGAAAGUUAAAACAACGUAGUACUAAAUUAAAAAUUUUGUAAUUCACGGAAUACUAAAGUGAAUAUUCGAUAAACCAUAGGAAUAUCUAAAGUUUCUUUUAUAUAUUUUAAUAGAGAAUUAACGGAGGUAUCGGCAGAAAAAGAAAAAUGAAAUUAUAAGAUACUAAAAUGAUACGGUUUAAGCCAUAAGGUAUUAAAAUGAGAAAAUACUAAAUCACAAGAGAGAUAUUUAAAGUUUUUCCAAUAUAAAAUUAUAAAGCUGAAUUUAACAACCAUUCAAAAAUUUUGGACCGAUUUGAAGCAGUGGUGAAGUAUGGGAGUGUUUGACAUAAUUUUUAAGGGCAAUUGCUUAUAUAAUUUUGAAAAGUUUCAAUUUUCUGAUUUAUUUUUUUUAAAAGUCUAAUAUUAAAAAUAUUUUUUUUACGUCUCGAACAUAUUUCAAAUAUAUCCGUAGAAUUAAAUUCUGUUAAUCAACUGUCAGCAGUAACUAUUAUCUAUAUAAAAUUACUAUUUUGCCCUUUCAAAUAUACUCUUGCACCAUCACCGACUUUUCUUAUUUACUCUUAAGUUAGGGUACAAAAAGUAUUUUGAUUUUUUAAAUUUUCAAAUACAUCUUUACCAUCAAUCACAUUUUUUUAUUCGCCCUUAAGUUAAGAAUAAAAGAGAUAUUUUGAUUUUUUUUUUUUAACUCUAGUAAAUAUUUAAUCACGUUUAAUUCAAGUUAACUAAACGGGUAGUAACUGAAGGAUAUUUUGAAAUAACAAAGGAACAUAUGAGUAGGGAUGCAAACGGGGCGGAUCUGGAGGCGGGAGCCCCGCCCUGCUCUUACCCCGACUAGCAAAAUUCCGCCCCGCCUCCCGCCCCGAAUCCGUGACGGGUUAAAAAAUACAUCUCAUAAUCCGCACCGCCUCGCAACCCACCUCCCACCGGCGCCCCAAAUCCGCCCCGCCAACUAAUAUUUUUUAUAAAAUUAUAAUAUUAUUAAUAUUUUGUAAAAUAUAAAUUAAUAAUUUUUAAUAAUAUUAUAUAUAUAAUUUAAUAAUAUUAAUUAUAAAAAUAAAAAAUAUCAAUCACAAUUCAAAACAAAAUUCAAAAGUUUCAAAUACAUUAGAAAAGAGAGUACUAAGUUAUUUGUAUUUUGAACUUUUUUGUAAAUACAUUAUUUUUUAGAAAUUUUUUUAAAAAAAUAUAAAUAAUUUUCGGAGCGGAUUCAGAACGGGUCAAAAUUUCUCCCGUUUUCUGCCCUGAAUCCGUCUCGGAUCGUAAAAUUUACUCCAUUUCUCGUCCCGAAUCCGUUUAUUUUCUCUCAUUUACUGCCCCCAUCGUGGCGGAUCGGGACGGGAGCUCCACCAACCCGGAUCCGUUUGCAUCCCUACAUAUGAGGGGUAUAUUGAAAAGGAAAAAAAAAAAAGUAGGGGUAAACGAACUAUUUCUGAAGUUUUGAGAGGCUUAUAAGCAAUUAUUCAUAAUUUUUAAUACAAGGAGUUAAUUGAGACAAUUGUUAAAGUACAAGGGGGGUUUUGUAAUUUAGCCUAGAAGGGUUUGACUCGCAAAUUUUUGUGAACAGAGAGAGACCUGCAAGCAACAGCCAUGGUGAUGCAAUCAAAAAUAAAUUAGAAUACCUUGGGCCACUUUUUUUUGGAAAAAAAAAUUUAAAUACAUAAUACAUAUCUGGACUAUAAAUUAUUUUGGGAAAAACUUCAAAAACCUCCUAGUAGUUUCGCACUUUCUCAUUUUAGUACCCUGUAGUUUAAAGUGUAUCAAGUUAAUACCGUGUGGUUUCGCAAUUUCUCACUUUGGUACCCUGUGAUUUAAAGUCUAUCAAGUUAGUACUAUAUGGUUUCAUUUUUGUAUCAAGUUAGUAACCUAUGAUUUCAUUUUUUUCUUUUUAUUAUCCAUUUCGGAGUAUUUUUUUCGUUAAAUCAGUGACAAAGUUAAAACUGAAGGGUACUAAAAUGAAUAUUCGAUAAACCUAGGUAAUCUAUCUGAAGUUUUUUAUAUAUAAUUUAACGAAAUAUUAAACCACAGGGUAUUAAAGCGAGAAAGUGCAAAACCACAGGGUACUAACUUGAUACACUUUAAACCACAGGAUACCAAAGUGAAAAAGUGCGAAACCAUAAGGUACUAACUUGAUACACUUUAAACUACAUGGUACUAAAGUGAGAAAGUGCGAAAUUACAGGGGAAGUAUUCGAAGUUUUUUCAUUAUUUUGAUUCAACUAUUCGAUCCUUUAAAAUUUUGAUUAUAGUAUCUAAUAUUUUAAUUUAUUUGCAUUAAGCGAUUUGGUGAUACUUCGAUUGUAAAAUUUAAGUUAAUUGUUUAUCUUAAUAAUUUUAUAAUGAAUAUUGUAUAAAGUAUGCAAAUUUAACCUAGAAAGAUGCAUUCACAAUUUGAAGUUAAAAAAUCAUUAAUUAGUUAAAAUCAAAUAAAUAAAAUGAUCAGAGAGUAAAAUUAAAAUUUUUAAAGAUUAGAUAGUCGAAUCCGCAAAGAUGAUAUAUCAUUGUGGUAAGUUUUAUAUGUUUUUUUAUCAAGGAAAGAUACAAAAACAUUCUCUGAUGUUUAGUACUUUUUGUUGUGACAUCCCAAUAAUUCCACAUUAAAUAAUAUAGAACGAAGAUCGGUGAGCUUUGUAUAUAGUUAACAAUUUAGUUCUAAUAACUAACUUGAGCUUAAAUAUUAGGCUAAAAAUACAGAUAAUCUUUCGGUAAAUAUCUAUUUUUUUUUAAUUUUUUUUUCUUUUGAUUUUGAGAAACCUUUAUUUUGCCCUCGUAAAUAUUUUAGAAAUAUUUUUAGGGAUUGCGACGUUAAUAGAAAAGACGAAAUGAUCAAAUUACUCUAAUGCUCUUACUUAUUUUAUAAGAAAAAUAUUUUUUUAAUAUAUUUAUGGUAUUUUUAAGAAUAUUUUCAGUAUAAAUGAUGAGAAAUGGACAGAAUAGACCGAUGGGGGCUAAAUAUAUCAACUCAAAAUUUUAAAAAGAUAAAAUUUAAAUUUUGAAAGCUAAAAAAAUUAAAAUAAAUAUUUAUACAAAUUUUUUUUGUAUUUAAUCUAAAUAAUAUUAAGACUCUUAUACUAGAUUUUGCCUCUAUUUUGAAGUUUUGGAAGUGGCGUAUAAAAUGCACAUACAAACUCCAUAAAAAUAGUUUGACAUCUACGUAAUAAAUCUUCGUAAUUUACGACUUUUAUAUAGAUAAAUAAUUGUAAAUCAUAUGUAUCAGAUUAUAUUUUAUUCUAAAAUAUUAAUUAUUAAAUGAUAAAUAUAGUACAUAAAAUGUACAGAAACAUCUCACACAGACGAUAACUUAUUACAAGUAAAAAAAGUCUUAAAAAAAAAACAAAAGAAAAAAAACACAAAAAUUUCAUAAACUACUUUGAAACUCAAGCAAAAAAACGCUUUAAAAUUUACUAAAAUAUUUUUUUUUAUUCUAAUAUUUUAUAAAAAUAAUAAAAAUUGAAAAUAGGUACACUUUUUAUUCUUUUUAACUCCCCCACCUACCCAUAAAUAAAAACUAAAUUUAAAUUCAAUUUUUUUUUUUUUUCCAA